CUGUGACUGUGACUGGCGCAUAGUUUAAUUUGGAAAACUGCUUUGUAAUUGCUAUGCAAAAUUAACAUAAUUGAUGUGCGUGCCCCAUGCCAUGCCCCAUAGACAGACAUCAGAUGCUAAUCCUACCCAUUUCCAGCUAACAGUAAAAGUAUCGUCUUCCUUCCCUCUCGCUCUGUUGCUGGAUACAUUGAUUGGCGGACAAAGGCUCAGCAGGUGGCAGAUACAAGACCCAGACGCAGUGGCCCCAGGAGCAGCG
rnacentral:lncRNA from 1 species